GACGAACGCUGGCGGCGUGCCUAAUACAUGCAAGUCGAACGCUUUUCUUUCACCGGAGCUUGCUCCACCGAAAGAAAAAGAGUGGCGAACGGGUGAGUAACACGUGGGUAGCCUGCCCAUCAGAAGGGGAUAACACUUGGAAACAGGUGCUAAUACCGUAUAACACUAUUUUCCGCAUGGAAGAAAGUUGAAAGGCGCUUUUGCGUCACUGAUGGAUGGACCCGCGGUGCAUUAGCUAGUUGGUGAGGUAACGGCUCACCAAGGCAACGAUGCAUAGCCGACCUGAGAGGGUGAUCGGCCACACUGGGACUGAGACACGGCCCAGACUCCUACGGGAGGCAGCAGUAGGGAAUCUUCGGCAAUGGACGAAAGUCUGACCGAGCAACGCCGCGUGAGUGAAGAAGGUUUUCGGAUCGUAAAACUCUGUUGUUAGAGAAGAACAAGGAUGAGAGUAAAAUGUUCAUCCCUUGACGGUAUCUAACCAGAAAGCCACGGCUAACUACGUGCCAGCAGCCGCGGUAAUACGUAGGUGGCAAGCGUUGUCCGGAUUUAUUGGGCGUAAAGCGAGCGCAGGCGGUUUCUUAAGUCUGAUGUGAAAGCCCCCGGCUCAACCGGGGAGGGUCAUUGGAAACUGGGAGACUUGAGUGCAGAAGAGGAGAGUGGAAUUCCAUGUGUAGCGGUGAAAUGCGUAGAUAUAUGGAGGAACACCAGUGGCGAAGGCGGCUCUCUGGUCUGUAACUGACGCUGAGGCUCGAA
rnacentral:rRNA from 1 species